rnacentral:tRNA from 1 species
CAUUGCGUAGCUCAGAUGGAUAGAGCACCUGCCUUCUAAGCAGGCGGUCUCUGGUUCGAUCCUGACGCGAUUA